rnacentral:rRNA from 1 species
UAUUGGUCAAUGGACGAGAGUCUGAACCAGCCAAGUAGCGUGAAGGAUUACUGCCCUAUGGGUUGUAAACUUCUUUUAUAUGGGAAUAAAGUUUUUCACGUGUGGAAUUUUGUAUGUACCAUAUGAAUAAGGAUCGGCUACCUCCGUGCCAGCAGCCGCGGUAAUACGGAGGAUCCGAGCGUUAUCCGGAUUUAUUGGGUUUAAAGGGAGCGUAGGCGGGUUGUUAAGUCAGUUGUGAAAGUUUGCGGCUCAACCGUAAAAUUGCAGUUGAUACUGGCUGUCUUGAGUACAGUAGAGGUGGGCGGAAUUCGUGGUGUAGCGGUGAAAUGCUUAGAUAUCACGCAGAACCCCGAUUGCGAAGGCAGCGUACCGGCGCCCUACUGACGCUGAAGCACGAAAGCGUGGGUAUCGAAC